UACGGAGGAUCCAAGCGUUAUCCGGAUUUAUUGGGUUUAAAGGGUGCGUAGGCGGCCUGUUAAGUCAGGGGUGAAAGACGGUAGCUCAACUAUCGCAGUGCCCUUGAUACUGAUGGGCUUGAAUACACUAGAGGUAGGCGGAAUGUGACAAGUAGCGGUGAAAUGCAUAGAUAUGUCACAGAACACCGAUUGCGAAGGCAGCUAACUAAGCAUAUAUUGACGCUGAGGCACGAAAGCGUGGGGAUCAAACAGG
rnacentral:rRNA from 1 species